ACAGCAGCAGCCACGGUAAUACGUAGGGUGCAAGCGUUAAUCGGAAUUACUGGGCGUAAAGCGUGCGCAGGCGGUUAUAUAAGACAGAUGUGAAAUCCCCGGGCUCAACCUGGGAACUGCAUUUGUGACUGUAUAGCUAGAGUACGGCAGAGGGGGAUGGAAUUCCGCGUGUAGCAGUGAAAUGCGUAGAUAUGCGGAGGAACACCGAUGGCGAAGGCAAUCCCCUGGGCCUGUACUGACGCUCAUGCACGAAAGAGUGGGGAGCAAACAGGAUUAGAUACCCCUGUAGUCCCUGUCUCUUAUAC
rnacentral:rRNA from 1 species